rnacentral:lncRNA from 1 species
AAAAAAAGCAAGAAAGCGCUGCGGAAAAGGGAUCCCGGCAAGAAAGCGCUGCGGGGAAGGGAUCCCAGCAAGCCCGGGGUUGGCAGCGUGGAGCCGGCGCGGUUGCUUGGACAGGUGCCGCUGCCCUGAGAAGAAGGCAUGUGACGCGGCGGCGGCGGCCGCUGCCUGCGGGCGGAGCGCUCGCUGGACCUAGAGCCCACACCCCGACUGAGGGACAAGUUGCCCUUUCUCCCAUAGUCAACUCCCGUGGAGCCUACUGAGCUUCGGGUUGGAUCAUGAACCGGAGUCUACGAAGCGUGAAUCUGGCUUGAGCAUCUUGGUCCUGGGUCGUUUGCUCGCUGAACCUUCCUAGAACGGGAGUGGAGUGAGGAAUCCAGGCACCUUGUUGAGGGCAUUGGAAAGGUUUUGACAAGGCAGAGGUACCUGCAACGUUCCGGGAUUCAGUCCACCAGAUAUGGAUGGUUAUAGCAGAUAUUUCAGCAAGGAACAUUAUCAGAGAUUAUGGAUUGGAUGAACCAUAUUCGUUUGCAAUAUGAUGUACAAUAUCAGGACUCUUCCCUGUCAUUGCCUUCAUGGUGAUAGAACACCAGGUUUCCUUCAGGAAGAGAAAUACACAACAGUGUCUAGUACAGUGGCUUGAUUUGAUGUUUCUACCUAGAACAUGUAUGUAAAAUUUACUCUAUUUUUUUACCUCUAGUUUCUUAUAGACAUUUUAUAUAAACAUAAUUUAUUUUCCAAAGUAGAAAACUUUUAUUCUGUAAAAUACAAUCCAUAGAUAC